rnacentral:rRNA from 1 species
CAGCAGUAAGGAAUAUUGCGCAAUGGACGAAAGUCUGACGCAGCGACGCCGCGUGGGGGAUGAAGGUCUUCGGAUUGUAAACCCCUUUCGGGAGGGAAGAUGGAGUGGGUAACCACUUGGACGGUACCUCCAGAAGCAGCCACGGCUAACUUCGUGCCAGCAGCCGCGGUAAUACGAAGGUGGCAAGCGUUGUUCGGAUUCACUGGGCGUACAGGGAGCGUAGGCGGUUGGGUAAGCCCUCCGUGAAAUCUCCGGGCCUAACCCGGAAAGUGCAGAGGGGACUGCUCAGCUAGAGGAUGGGAGAGGAGCGCGGAAUUCCCGGUGUAGCGGUGAAAUGCGUAGAGAUCGGGAGGAAGGCCGGUGGCGAAGGCGGCGCUCUGGAACAUUUCUGACGCUGAGGCUCGAAAGCGUGGGGAGCAAACAGGAUUAGAUACCCUGGUAGUCCACGCCUUAAACUAUGGAUACUAAGUGUCGGCGGUUUACCGCCGGUGCCGCAGCUAACGCAAUAAGUAUCCCGCCUGGGAAGUACGGCCGCA